rnacentral:rRNA from 1 species
GACGAACGCUGGCGGCGCGCUUAACACAUGCAAGUCGAACGGAAAGGCCUGCUUUCCCUUGUGGAUUGCGGGUACUCGAGUGGCGAACGGGUGAGUAACACGUGAGUGAUCUGCCUCCAACUUGGGUAUAAGCCUGGGAAACUGGGUCUAAUUCCCGAUAGGACUGCAGGGUGGUGCCUGUGGUGGAAAACGAUUUUCUAGUGGUUGGGGAUGAGCUCGCGGCCUAUCAGCUUGUUGGUGGGGUAAUGGCCUACCAAGGCGGCGACGGGUAGCCGGCCUGAGAGGGUGGACGGCCACAUUGGGACUGAGAUACGGCCCAGACUCCUACGGGAGGCAGCAGUGGGGAAUAUUGCACAAUGGGCGGAAGCCUGAUGCAGCGACGCCGCGUGGGGGAUGACGGCCUUCGGGUUGUAAACUCCUUUCGACCGCGAGGAAGCCACCUGGUUGGGAGGGUGGUGACGGUAGUGGUAGAAGAAGCACCGGCUAACUACGUG